AUGAAGACACCCGAUAAGUUUGUGCAUGUCAGGAACAGAAGCUUUGACCAAUGCGAAGCAGAGUGCAGAAACAACUGCGCUUGCACCGCAUAUGCUUUUUCUAACAUGAAAAAUGGCAGCACGUCUAGUGACCAGGCAAGGUGCUUGAUUUGGUUGGGGGAGCUUGUCGACACAGGAAAGUUUCGUGAUGGAAGUGGCGAGAACCUGUACCUUCGUCUAGCCAGUUCAACAGGUAUACAUCUUUCCUUAUGCGCUUAUGGAUUGUACGGUGUGAUCUAUUCCUUUUAUGUCGAAUGGUAG
rnacentral:rRNA from 1 species